rnacentral:rRNA from 1 species
AAAUUGAAGAGUUUGAUCAUGGCUCAGAUUGAACGCUGGCGGCAGGCCUAACACAUGCAAGUCGAGCGGUAGCACAGAGAGCUUGCUCUCGGGUGACGAGCGGCGGACGGGUGAGUAAUGUCUGGGAAACUGCCUGAUGGAGGGGGGAUAACUACUGGAAACGGUAGCUAAUACCGCAUAACGUCGCAAGACCAAAGUGGGGGACCUUCGGGCCUCAUGCCAUCAGAUGUGCCCAGAUGGGAUUAGCUAGUAGGUGGGGUAACGGCUCACCUAGGCGACGAUCCCUAGCUGGUCUGAGAGGAUGACCAGCCACACUGGAACUGAGACACGGUCCAGACUCCUACGGGAGGCAGCAGUGGGGAAUAUUGCACAAUGGGCGCAAGCCUGAUGCAGCCAUGCCGCGUGUGUGAAGAAGGCCUUCGGGUUGUAAAGCACUUUCAGCGGGGAGGAAGGCGAUAAGGUUAAUAACCUUGUCGAUUGACGUUACCCGCAGAAGAAGCACCGGCUAACUCCGUGCCAGCAGCCGCGGUAAUACGGAGGGUGCAAGCGUUAAUCGGAAUUACUGGGCGUAAAGCGCACGCAGGCGGUCUGUCAAGUCGGAUGUGAAAUCCCCGGGCUCAACCUGGGAACUGCAUUCGAAACUGGCAGGCUAGAGUCUUGUAGAGGGGGGUAGAAUUCCAGGUGUAGCGGUGAAAUGCGUAGAGAUCUGGAGGAAUACCGGUGGCGAAGGCGGCCCCCUGGACAAAGACUGACGCUCAGGUGCGAAAGCGUGGGGAGCAAACAGGAUUAGAUACCCUGGUAGUCCACGCCGUAAACGAUGUCGAUUUGGAGGUUGUGCCCUUGAGGCGUGGCUUCCGGAGCUAACGCGUUAAAUCGACCGCCUGGGGAGUACGGCCGCAAGGUUAAAACUCAAAUGAAUUGACGGGGGCCCGCACAAGCGGUGGAGCAUGUGGUUUAAUUCGAUGCAACGCGAAGAACCUUACCUGGUCUUGACAUCCACAGAACUUUCCAGAGAUGGAUUGGUGCCUUCGGGAACUGUGAGACAGGUGCUGCAUGGCUGUCGUCAGCUCGUGUUGUGAAAUGUUGGGUUAAGUCCCGCAACGAGCGCAACCCUUAUCCUUUGUUGCCAGCGGUCCGGCCGGGAACUCAAAGGAGACUGCCAGUGAUAAACUGGAGGAAGGUGGGGAUGACGUCAAGUCAUCAUGGCCCUUACGACCAGGGCUACACACGUGCUACAAUGGCAUAUACAAAGAGAAGCGACCUCGCGAGAGCAAGCGGACCUCAUAAAGUAUGUCGUAGUCCGGAUUGGAGUCUGCAACUCGACUCCAUGAAGUCGGAAUCGCUAGUAAUCGUAGAUCAGAAUGCUACGGUGAAUACGUUCCCGGGCCUUGUACACACCGCCCGUCACACCAUGGGAGUGGGUUGCAAAAGAAGUAGGUAGCUUAACCUUCGGGAGGGCGCUUACCACUUUGUGAUUCAUGACUGGGGUGAAGUCGUAACAAGGUAACCGUAGGGGAACCUGCGGUUGGAUCACCUCCUUACCUUAAAGAA